rnacentral:tRNA from 1 species
GUUUCUAGGGUGUACAGCACAUUAAGUUUUCAUCUUGAAGGAAUGACAUAAGUCAUUAGAAAUA